UUUCUUUUUCUCUCAGGAACACAGGGACACUUCACUGGAAGCUGUAUGGAGAGGAAAAUAUAAAGAUGCCACUGAGAGAGACUUAGACAGGCUUGAACAGUGGGCCCGAGAGAACAUCACGAGAUCCAGCAAAGCCAAGUGAAAGAUCUUGGACCUCAGUUGCAGCAACCUCCACUAUCAAUACAAGCUGGGAGAUAAAAGGAUUGAGCGCAGCCUUGCAGAAAAGGACUUGGAGGUACUGGUGGACAACAAGCAGGACAUGAGCCAGCAAAGUGCUCUUGCAGACCAGAAGGCCAACCACAUCCUGAGCUGCA
rnacentral:lncRNA from 1 species